rnacentral:rRNA from 1 species
AUACGGGAGGCAGCAGUGAGGAAUAUUGCGCAAUGCCCGAAAGGGUGACGCAGCGACGCCGCGUGGAGGAUGAAGGCCCUAUGGGUCGUAAACUCCUUUUGCGGGGGAAGAAUUUGGAGCUACAGGCUCCAUUGACUGUACCCCGAGAAAAAGCAUCGGCUAACUACGUGCCAGCAGCCGCGGUAAUACGUAGGAUGCGAGCGUUGUCCGGAAUCACUGGGUGUAAAGGGAGCGCAGGCGGGUUGGUAAGUCGGUGGUGAAAUUCUUGGGCUUAACCCGGGGACUGCCAUCGAUACUGCCAAUCUUGAGUGCGGAAGAGGUUGGUGGAAUUCUUGGUGUAGCGGUGAAAUGCGUAGAUAUCAAGAAGAACACCGAUGGCGAAGGCAGCCAACUGGUCCGCUACUGACGCUCAUGCUCGAAAGCGUGGGGAUCAAACAGGAUUAGAUACCCCGGU